UACAGAGGUCUCGAGCGUUGUUCGGAUUCAUUGGGCGUAAAGGGCGCGUAGGCGGCGGGGUAAGUCUGGUGUGAAAUCUAGGCAGCUCAACUCCUAAACUGCACUGGAUACUGCUCUGCUAGAGGACGUGGAGAGGAGACUGGAAUUCACGGUGAUAGCAGUGAAAUGCGUAGAUAUCGUGAGGAAGACCAGUCGGCGAAGGCGGGUCUCUGGACAGUUCCUGACGCUGAGGCGGCGAAAGGCCAGGGGGAGCAAACGGG
rnacentral:rRNA from 1 species